rnacentral:rRNA from 1 species
GAUGAACGCUGGCGGCGUGCCUAAUACAUGCAAGUCGAGCGAACAGACGAGGAGCUUGCUCCUCUGACGUUAGCGGCGGACGGGUGAGUAACACGUGGAUAACCUACCUAUAAGACUGGGAUAACUUCGGGAAACCGGAGCUAAUACCGGAUAAUAUAUUGAACCGCAUGGUUCAAUAGUGAAAGACGGUUUUGUUGUCACUUAUAGAUGGAUCCGCGCCGCAUUAGCUAGUUGGUAAGGUAACGGCUUACCAAGGCAACGAUGCGUAGCCGACCUGAGAGGGUGAUCAGCCACACUGGAACUGAGACACGGUCCAGACUCCUACGGGAGGCAGCAGUAGGGAAUCUUCCGCAAUGGGCGAAAGCUUGACGGAGCAACGCCGCGUGAGUGAUGAAGGUCUUCGGAUCGUAAAACUCUGUUAUUAGGGAAGAACAAAUGUGUAAGUAACUAUGCACGUCUUGACGGUACCUAAUCAGAAAGCCACGGCUAACUACGUG